UGGGGAAUUUUGGACAAUGGGCGCAAGCCUGAUCCAGCCAUGCCGCGUGCGGGAAGAAGGCCUUCGGGUUGUAAACCGCUUUUGUCGGGGAAGAAAAGCCUUGGGUUAAUACCCUGGGGUGAUGACGGUACCCGAAGAAUAAGCACCGGCUAACUACGUGCCAGCAGCCGCGGUAAUACGUAGGGUGCAAGCGUUAAUCGGAAUUACUGGGCGUAAAGCGUGCGCAGGCGGUUGUGUAAGACAGAUGUGAAAUCCCCGGGCUCAACCUGGGAACUGCAUUUGUGACUGCACAGCUGGAGUGCGGCGGAGGGGGAUGGAAUUCCGCGUGUAGCAGUGAAAUGCGUAGGUAGGCGGAGGAGCACCGAUGGCGAAGGCAAGCCCCUGGGCCUGCACUGACGCUCAUGCACGAAAGCGUGGGGAGCCAACA
rnacentral:rRNA from 1 species